ACCAGGGUGGCUCUUAAGUUAAAGCAUCUGCCUGCAAUGCAGGAGACCUGGGUUUGAUCCCUGUUUUGGAA
rnacentral:tRNA from 1 species